CACGUAGGGCGCAAGCGUUGUCCGGAAUUAUUGGGCGUAAAGAGCUCGUAGGUGGUUUGUUACGUCUGCUGUGAAAUCCUAGGGCUUAACCCUGGGCUUGCAGUGGAUACGGGCAGACUAGAGGUAGGUAGGGGAGAAUGGAAUUCCUGGUGUAGCGGUGAAAUGACGCAGAUAUCAGGAGGAACACCGGUGGCGAAGGCGGUUCUCUGGGCCUUACCUGACACUGAGGAGCGAAAGCGUGGGGAGCGAACAGG
rnacentral:rRNA from 1 species